UUACCAACCCGAUGCAAACUGCGAAUACCGGAGAAUGUUAUCACGGGAGACACACGGCGGGUGCUAACGUCCGUCGUGAAGAGGGAAACAACCCAGACCGCCAGCUAAGGUCCCAAAGUCAUGGUUAAGUGGGAAACGAUGUGGGAAGGCCCAGACAGCCAGGAUGUUGGCUUAGAAGCAGCCAUCAUUUAAAGAAAGCGUAAUAGCUCACUGGUCGAGUCGGCCUGCGCGGAAGAUGUAACGGGGCUAAACCAUGCACCGAAGCUGCGGCAGCGACGCUGAUG
rnacentral:rRNA from 1 species